GCGCACCAGGCGCGAACCUCCACAAUGCGGGAAACCGUGAUGGGGGAAGUCCGAGUGCCCGUUCGGCGUAAUGCUGGCGGGCUUUCCUCAAGCGUAAAAGGCUUGAGGAAUAAGGACUGGGUAAGACCGGUGCCAGCCGCCGCGGUAACACCGGCGGUCCAACUGGUGAUCAGCAUUUAUUGGGGUCUAAAGCGUCCGUAGCCGGAUGGUUGGAUUUCGAGUGAAA
rnacentral:rRNA from 1 species